UAAUACNUGCAUACGCUCUACGGAGGAAAGGGGGGGAUCUUAGGACCUCUCGCUACAGGGGCGNCCGAUGGCAGAUUAGCUAGUUGGUGGGGUAAAGGCCUACCAAGGCGACGAUCUGUAGCUGGUCUGAGAGGACGACCAGCCACACUGGGACUGAGACACGGCCCAGACUCCUACGGGAGGCAGCAGUGGGGAAUUUUGGACAAUGGGCGCAAGCCUGAUCCAGCAAUGCCGCGUGUGUGAAGAAGGCCUUCGGGUUGUAAAGCACUUUUGUCCGGAAAGAAAACUUCCUGGUUAAUACCCGGGGAGGAUGACGGUACCGGAAGAAUAAGCACCGGCUAACUACGUGCCAGCAGCCGCGGUAAUACGUAGGGUGCAAGCGUUAAUCGGAAUUACUGGGCGUAAAGCGUGCGCAGGCGGUCCGCUAAGACAGAUGUGAAAUCCCCGGGCUUAACCUGGGAACUGCAUUUGUGACUG
rnacentral:rRNA from 1 species